rnacentral:rRNA from 1 species
GACGUAGGUGGCGAACGUUAUCCGGAAUUAUUGGGCGUAAAGGGUGCGUAGGUGGCCUGACAAGUUAUCAGUGGCAAAUCGAGGCUCAACCUCGUGGAAACUGGUAAUACUGUUCGGCUUGAGUACAGGAGAGGUUAACGGAACUCUAUGUGGAGCGGUAAAAUGCACAGAUAUAUAGAAGAACAUCAAUAAAGGCGAAAGGCAGUUAACUAUUCUGUUAACUGACGCUGAGGCACGAAAGCGUGGGGAGCAAAACGGA